UUCAGUUGGAGGGAUUUUUUCUCUUAAAUCUUGAAGUAGGCGGGUUCUUAAACACACUUUUCAAAAUUGAAAAAUCAAAGUCUUUUUCAAGCGCGGCAUGCCAAAGCGCUAUUAUUAAGUACAGACCCAAAAAAAUUAAAAUCCCUAGUUCACAAUUCUAACCCCUCUUAGAUUCAUUGUUCUUCUCCUUCACUACUCUGUUCUGUUUCCUCUUAUCUUCAUCAUCCUUCUCCCAUACGAGCUGGUGGUCGUGUCACUUGACCUCAAUUUGUUGGACAGAGAUCCUAGAGUUAGCCGCCGUGUUAUGGGAUUCAAGCCAAGCAAAUUACGAUUCGGUUUCGAUAUCCUGGAUUAUAGGUUUGUUUUUGGAUCAUAUAGAGGAAGCUGAGAAAUCGUUUGUUAUGCGAAUCUGAGAAGUAUGAAAACUCUUUUCUUUAAUUUGUUUUGGUAUCGUUAUAAGGAGUGAUGCCAUGGGAAAAGAGAUCAACUUGCGGGAACAAAUAUUGAAAUUGUACAGAGAUGAUUACCAUGGUGGAUUGAUGAAGCUAGUUGUCAUAGGACGAGAAUCUCUUGAUGUACUUGAGAAUUGGGUUUUGGAAUUGUUUGUAAUGUCAAAAAAGGUCCCCAAGUAAAUCUGGAAUUCAAGGCAGAAGGUCCAAUUUGGAAAGCUGGAAAACUUUACAGACUAGAGGUUGUUAAAGAUGUUCAUAUACUCCACUUAACAUGGACAUUGCCAUGCCUUCGUCAAGACUAUUUGAAGAAAUCAGAAGAUCAUUUAUCUCAUCUCCUUGGGCAUGAGGGCAGAGGAAGUUUGCAUUCCUAUUUCAAAGUUGAAGGGUGGGCAACAUCUCUGGCUGCUGGUGUUGGGGCUGACGGGAUGCAUCAUUCUUUGGCUUAUAUCUUUCGCAUGGACAUUCGUCUCACUGACUCUUGAUUGGAUAAGGGAGUUUCUCAAGGUUGUUCUGGUUUGGUUAGAACCAGUCAUCUUGCAAACUGUCAUGCAGCUUGCGAAGUGUAGUGCAACUCAACAAAAUGAGGAGUUCAGAGACAGUCAAAGCCGAUGCAGGUCAACAAAUUGAAGAGUUAGAGGCAGUGAAGGCUAGAGCUGCUCAACAAAAUGAAGAGAUAGAGACACUAAA